rnacentral:rRNA from 1 species
UACGUAGGGCGCAAGCGUUGUCCGGAGUACUGGCGUAAGCGCACGCAGGCGGUCUGUUAAGUUUGGAGUGACAGUUGGUGGCUUAACUGCCAAAGUGCUUCGAAACUAGACAGACUUGAGGGCUUCAGAGGGACACGGAAUUCCGGGUGGAGUGUGAAAUGCGUAGAGAUCCGGAGGAACACCAAAGGCGAAGGCAGUGUCCUGGGGAGUACCUGACGCUCAGGUGCGAAAGCCAGGGAGCGAACAGG